rnacentral:ncRNA from 1 species
CAAACUAUUUUGAUGGAGACACACUUUGUGAAUGGAAAUCUUCAGAGAGCUGAUGGUUGGUGGAAAUCAGCGGUUUUCGCAUAAAGUAGCACUCCGGAAUAGAUAGGCUGAACACUGAGUAGGCCUAUACGAUAAAUGCACGUUACGCAUAUUCAUGAAGACUGUCUUCGUUUUGAAUUAGACAGUGAAUUAGGGUGGUACCGCGUGAGCAAAUUAAAGCUUCUCGCCCCUUAC